rnacentral:rRNA from 1 species
GUAGGUGGCAAGCGUUGUCCGGAAUUAUUGGGCGUAAAGCGCGCGCAGGCGGUUCUUUAAGUCUGAUGUGAAAGCCCACGGCUCAACCGUGGAGGGUCAUUGGAAACUGGAGAACUUGAGUACAGAAGAGGAAAGCGGAAUUCCACGUGUAGCGGUGAAAUGCGUAGAGAUGUGGAGGAACACCAGUGGCGAAGGCGGCUUUCUGGUCUGUAACUGACGCUGAGGCGCGAAAGCGUGGGGAGCAAACAGGAUUAGAUACCCUGGUAGUCCACGCCGUAAACGAUGAGUGCUAAGUGUUAGGGGGUUUCCGCCCCCCUUGGUGCUGCAGCUAACGCAUUAAGCACUCCGCCCUGGGAGUACGGCCGCAAGGCUG